UGAGGAAUUUUCCGCAAUGGAGGCAACUCUGACGGAGCAACGCCGCGUGCAGGAAGACGGCCUUCGGGUUGUAAACUGCUUUUCUGUGGGAAGAGCAAGGACGGUACCACAGGAAGAAGCCCCGGCUAACUACGUGCCAGCAGCCGCGGUAAUACGUAGGGGGCGAGCGUUGUCCGGAGUUACUGGGCGUAAAGGGCACGCAGGCGGUCAAGUAAGUGUGCGGGGACAGUGGGCGGCUUAACUGCCCAAGGGUCGCACGGACUGCUUGACUGGAGGGCCAGAGAGGGACCUGGAAUUCCGGGUGGAGCGGUGAAAUGCGUAGAGAUCCGGAGGAACACCAAGGGCGAAGGCAAGGUCCUGGCUGGUUCCUGACGCUGAGGUGCGAAAGCCAGGGGAGCGAACGGGAUUAGAUACCCCCGUAGUCC
rnacentral:rRNA from 1 species